UACGGGGGGGGCAAGCGUUGUUCGGAAUUACUGGGCGUAAAGGGCUCGUAGGCGGCCAACUAAGUCGGAUGUGAAAUCCCCAGGCUCAACCUGGGAACUGCAUCCGAUACUGGAUGGCUUGAAUUCGGGAGAGGGAUGCAGAAUUCCAGGUGUAGCGGUGAAAUGCGUAGAUAUCAGGAGGAACACCGGUGGCGAAGGCGCCACUCUGGGCCGAAACUGACGCUGAGGAGCGAAAGCGUGGGUAGCAAACAGG
rnacentral:rRNA from 1 species